rnacentral:rRNA from 1 species
AUACGGAGGGUGCGAGUGUUAUUCGGAAUCACUGGGCGUAAAGAGCACGUAGGCGGAUCGGUAAGUCAGAUGUGAAAUCCCGGAGCUCAACUCCGGAACUGCAUUUGAUACUGCCAGUCUUGAGUGAGGUAGAGGGGGGUGGAAUUCCCGGUGUAGAGGUGAAAUUCGUAGAUAUCGGGAGGAACACCAGAGGCGAAGGCGACCCCCUGGGCCUUUACUGACGCUGAGGUGCGAAAGCGUGGGGAGC